rnacentral:tRNA from 1 species
GGAUAUUAGCUCAGGUGGUAGAGCACUUGACUUUUAAUCAAGUUGUCCGGGGUUCGAAUCCCCGAUGUCUCA